AGCGUACACGGUGGAUGCCCUGGCAGUCAGAGGCGAUGAAGGACGUGCUAAUCUGCGAAAAGCGUCGGUAAGGUGAUAUGAACCGUUAUAACCGGCGAUGUCCGAAUGGGGAAACCCAGUGCAAUUCGUUGCACUAUCGUUAACUGAAUACAUAGGUUAACGAGGCGAACCGGGGGAACUGAAACAUCUAAGUACCCCGAGGAAAAGAAAUCAACCGAGAUUCCCCCAGUAGCGGCGAGCGAACGGGGAGCAGCCCAGAGUCUGAAUCAGCUUGUGUGUUAGUGGAACGGUCUGGAAAGUCCGACGGUACAGGGUGAUAGUCCCGUACACCAAAAUGCACAGGCUGUGAACUCGAAGAGUAGGGCGGGACACGUGGUAUCCUGUCUGAAUAUGGGGGGACCAUCCUCCAAGGCUAAAUACUCCUGACUGACCGAUAGUGAACCAGUACCGUGAGGGAAAGGCGAAAAGAACCCCGGCGAGGGGAGUGAAAAAGAACCUGAAACCGUGUACGUACAAGCAGUGGGAGCACCUUCGGGUGUGACUGCGUACCUUUUGUAUAAUGGGUCAGCGACUUAUAUUCUGUAGCAAGGUUAACCGUAUAGGGGAGCCGCAGGGAAACCGAGUCUUAACUGGGCGUUAAGUUGCAGGGUAUAGACCCGAAACCCGGUGAUCUAGCCAUGGGCAGGUUGAAGGUUGGGUAACACUAACUGGAGGACCGAACCGACUAAUGUUGAAAAAUUAGCGGAUGACUUGUGGCUGGGGGUGAAAGGCCAAUCAAACCGGGAGAUAGCUGGUUCUCCCCGAAAGCUAUUUAGGUAGCGCCUCGUGAACUCAUCUUCGGGGGUAGAGCACUGUUUCGGCUAGGGGGUCAUCCCGACUUACCAACCCGAUGCAAACUACGAAUACCGAAGAAUGUUAUCACGGGAGACACACGGCGGGUGCUAACGUCCGUCGUGAAGAGGGAAACAACCCAGACCGCCAGCUAAGGUCCCAAAGUCAUGGUUAAGUGGGAAACGAUGUGGGAAGGCACAGACAGCCAGGAUGUUGGCUUAGAAGCAGCCAUCAUUUAAAGAAAGCGUAAUAGCUCACUGGUCGAGUCGGCCUGCGCGGAAGAUGUAACGGGGCUAAACCAUGCACCGAAGCUGCGGCAGCGACACUAUGUGUUGUUGGGUAGGGGAGCGUUCUGUAAGCCUGCGAAGGUGUGCUGUGAGGCAUGCUGGAGGUAUCAGAAGUGCGAAUGCUGACAUAAGUAACGAUAAAGCGGGUGAAAAGCCCGCUCGCCGGAAGACCAAGGGUUCCUGUCCAACGUUAAUCGGGGCAGGGUGAGUCGACCCCUAAGGCGAGGCCGAAAGGCGUAGUCGAUGGGAAACAGGUUAAUAUUCCUGUACUUGGUGUUACUGCGAAGGGGGGACGGAGAAGGCUAUGUUAGCCGGGCGACGGUUGUCCCGGUUUAAGCAUGUAGGCUGGUUGUCCAGGCAAAUCCGGAUAAUCAAGGCUGAGGUGUGAUGACGAGGCACUACGGUGCUGAAGUAACAAAUGCCCUGCUUCCAGGAAAAGCCUCUAAGCAUCAGGUAACAUCAAAUCGUACCCCAAACCGACACAGGUGGUCAGGUAGAGAAUACCAAGGCGCUUGAGAGAACUCGGGUGAAGGAACUAGGCAAAAUGGUGCCGUAACUUCGGGAGAAGGCACGCUGGUGUGUAGGUGAAGUCCCUGCGGAUGGAGCUGAGACCAGUCGAAGAUACCAGCUGGCUGCAACUGUUUAUUAAAAACACAGCACUGUGCAAACACGAAAGUGGACGUAUACGGUGUGACGCCUGCCCGGUGCCGGAAGGUUAAUUGAUGGGGUUAUCCGUAAGGAGAAGCUCUUGAUCGAAGCCCCGGUAAACGGCGGCCGUAACUAUAACGGUCCUAAGGUAGCGAAAUUCCUUGUCGGGUAAGUUCCGACCUGCACGAAUGGCGUAAUGAUGGCCAGGCUGUCUCCACCCGAGACUCAGUGAAAUUGAACUCGCUGUGAAGAUGCAGUGUACCCGCGGCAAGACGGAAAGACCCCGUGAACCUUUACUAUAGCUUGACACUGAACAUUGAGCCUUGAUGUGUAGGAUAGGUGGGAGGCUUUGAAGCGUGGACGCCAGUCUGCGUGGAGCCAACCUUGAAAUACCACCCUUUAAUGUUUGAUGUUCUAACGUUGGCCCCUUAUCGGGGUUGCGGACAGUGUCUGGUGGGUAGUUUGACUGGGGCGGUCUCCUCCCAAAGCGUAACGGAGGAGCACGAAGGUUAGCUAAUCCUGGUCGGACAUCAGGAGGUUAGUGCAAUGGCAUAAGCUAGCUUGACUGCGAGCGUGACGGCGCGAGCAGGUGCGAAAGCAGGUCAUAGUGAUCCGGUGGUUCUGAAUGGAAGGGCCAUCGCUCAACGGAUAAAAGGUACUCCGGGGAUAACAGGCUGAUACCGCCCAAGAGUUCAUAUCGACGGCGGUGUUUGGCACCUCGAUGUCGGCUCAUCACAUCCUGGGGCUGAAGUAGGUCCCAAGGGUAUGGCUGUUCGCCAUUUAAAGUGGUACGCGAGCUGGGUUUAGAACGUCGUGAGACAGUUCGGUCCCUAUCUGCCGUGGGCGCUGGAGAAUUGAGGGGGGCUGCUCCUAGUACGAGAGGACCGGAGUGGACGCAUCACUGGUGUUCGGGUUGUCAUGCCAAUGGCACUGCCCGGUAGCUAAAUGCGGAAGAGAUAAGUGCUGAAAGCAUCUAAGCACGAAACUUGCCCCGAGAUGAGUUCU
rnacentral:rRNA from 1 species